rnacentral:misc_RNA from 1 species
UCUCUGGUUCGAGUCCAGGAUGGCCCACCUAACCGAACAAGGGGGUAUAGCUCAGUUGGUAGAGCGCUGCCUUGCAAGGCAGAAGUCAGCGGUUCGAGUCCGCUUACCUCCAGGCCAGGAAAUGUUCAGAACUCAGCAACUAGACCUGAAUUGUUCAAGUCAUGCUGCUGGGCUACUAAUGUCCAGCCAGAACCUUGACAACUGCAAUC